CUCCAGAAUAGUCUAAAUACCCGGACCACUGAGAGAAACCAGUUACAGAAUAGUCUAAAUACCAGGACCACUGAGAGAGACCAGUUACAGAAUAGUCUGAAUACCAGGACCACUGAGAGAGACCAGUUACAGAAUAGUCUAAAUACCAGGACCACGGAGAGGGACCAGUUACAGAAUAGUCUAAAUACCAGGACUACUGAGAGAAACCAGUUAUAGAAUAGUCUAAAUACCAGGACCGCAGAGAAAAACAAGCUACAGAAUAUUCUCACAACCAAAACUAAAGACAGAGACCAGUUGCACAAUACUCUCACCACAAUAACUCGGGAGAGAGACCAGCUACAGAAUAGUCUAAAUACCAGGACCACUGAGAGAGACCAGUUACAUAAUAGUCUAAAUACCAGUACUACAGAGAGAGACCAGUUACAGAAUAGUCUGAAUACCAGGACCACUGAGAGAGACCAGUUACAGAAUAGUCUAUAUACCAGGACCACUGAGAGAGACCAGUUACAGAAUAGUCUAAAUACCAGGACCACGGAGAGAGACCAGCUACAGAAUAGUCUAAAUACCAGGACUACUGAGAGAAACCAGUUACAGAAUAGUCUAAAUACCAGGACCGCAGAGAAAAACAAGCUACAGAAUAGUCUCACAACCAAAACUAAAGACAGAGACCAGUUGCACAAUAUUCUCACCACAAUAACUCGGGAGAGGGACCAGCUACAGAAUAGUCUAAAUACCCGGACCACUGAGAGAAACCAGUUACAGAAUAGUCUAAAUACCAGGACCACAGAGAGAGACCAGUUAAAAAACAGCCUUAGGUUCUAUGGUUAGUGCAGUCUUUAAUUUUCCUAAUUUAGAAGUAUCAUUUUAUUUCAUACUUAGAAGAGACAUAAUAUAUUUAUCGACUUUUACGUGCCUGCUGUUCUAUUCCGUUUAUCUCAGAGAAACCCUGUCUGGAUGGAUGGUGGAAGUUUGGCACCAGCUGUUACUAUGUCUCCUCCACGAUGGACAGCUCUGGGGCCGGUCAGCGGCAGUGCAGAACAAUGGGUGCUGAUUUGGUUAUUAUAAACAGCAGAGAAGAACAGAUAUUUAUCAAUGGAUUUAAGAAGAAUGUCUGGAUUGGUACAUAUAAAAAAGAUGGAAUCUGGGAGUGGAUUGGCAUAACACUAUUUAAACCUACCUAUUGGAUGGAAGGGGC